rnacentral:piRNA from 1 species
UCCACAGGCAGUAGACCAAAGAGUGCA